UUUUUUCUGGGCUGGACUCUGUUGUCCUAAUAAUGGCCACAUUGGCAGCUUGUGAUGGAGUAGCUCAUCCAACAAAGGGAGGUUUGGAUAUGAUGAUCCAACUGUAUUUCCCUGCAGACUCUUCUGGUCCAAGUUUCAGCUAUACUAAUUUCAGAUGAAAGAAUCAUUUGAAGAGGAAAAUGGCCCAAAACAGAAAGAAGAUGCUAUCGUGUCACUGCGUUGCUGACACUCAUCUACUGACUCAGAAAGGGUGGCAAUGUCUUCUCUGAACUGCCCAACCAACGAAGAGUGAACCAGAGGGAGGACAGGGUGUUUUGAACAUUGGUCAAUACCAUCAAGUAAAUCACGUUCCGCAUGUAAUGACUGAAAGGAAGACACUAUGGUGGUCACGUGAGUGUGCUCAGAUGCGGAGGAGGAGGGCACGGAAGACGAGGGCUGCCAAUGGUCUGCUUUUGUACUUGCUUUUGUGCCAGUAACAAGGCAAGAGUGAUCUAGCUGAAUUUUACAUGUGACAUAAAAGGUUACUAUCUUCUAGCCCUCCAAGUUGGUCUGAAUCACAUUGAGUCAAAAUUAUGAGGAGCUCCCAGCAACUCUCAAGAGGAGGCUACUCAGUUAACUAAGACAAAACAUCGAGGGACCAAGGCUGCUACUGAACAUCAGAGUGCUGUGGUCACUAGAGAAGGCCUUGACAGUCUUGGAAGAGCUGUGAUCCUGCAGUGUUAAAGUCCUCUCUCUCUCUCCCUCUCUCUCUCUCCCUCCCUCUCUCUCUCUCCCUUUCCCUUUCCCUCCCUCCCUCUCUCUCUCUCUCUCUCUGUCUCUGUCUCUCUCUCACGCACACACACACAUACAUGCUCAAAAGCCCUACUAAAUCAUCUAUUUCAGAA